rnacentral:rRNA from 1 species
UACAGAGGUCUCAAGCGUUGUUCGGAUUCGUUGGGCGUAAAGGGCGCGUAGGCGGUGGGGUAAGUCUGGUGUGAAAUCUCGGAGCUCAACUUCGAAAUUGCACUGGAUACUGCUCUGCUAGAGGGCUGGAGAGGAGAUCGGAAUUCACGGUGUAGCAGUGAAAUGCGUAGAUAUCGUGAGGAAGACCAGUGGCGAAGGCGGAUCUCUGGACAGCUCCUGACGCUGAGGCGCGAAGGCUAGGGGAGCAAACGGG